rnacentral:tRNA from 1 species
GACAGUGUGGUCUAGUAGGUAGAGCAUUAGACUGACUCAGGAGACCUGGGUUCCAUUCCCAGCUCUGCCA